CCUAAGGUUAACUUUGUGGUUUUUGGUUAGAGCUCUGCUCACAUCUUCGGAAUACUAAAAGGGAGUUGAAUAACAAUUCGAUUUGUGACACCAUCAUUUUCAUAGAGAGGAGAGAAUUCUGGGGGUCCUUUCACGUGUAACUUACAAUGAUGCUCUUGUCUCUGAGCUUCUAAUUGAAAAUAACUGUGCCAGCUACUAGAUUCUUGGGCAACCGGAAGACUUCUCCGGCACAGGCUUUACCUGUGGAAGGACGGCCAUUUCCAGGAGAUGCCCUGUGGACUGACAAGAGUUUAAUCCCUGUGUUGGUUAUAAGGAAACAGGAACCCAAAAUCAGGUGUCUUUCUGGUUACUUCUGCUUGCGUGCCACUGUGUGAUUGCCAAGGGACCAGCUCGGGAGAGAACAACAAUGAAAAGUUAGUGGGCUUUCUCUUAUUUUAUCUGCCCUAUAAAUGCUUCCUGUCCCACGUCUUGCACAGAGAGAUUCUUCUGAGGUUCUUUCUGGCCACAUGCAGACUCUAAGUAACAUGUGGUCUUUGA